rnacentral:rRNA from 1 species
AAUACCGAAUACACCCUGCUGGCUGCAUGGCCUGGUGGGGGAAAGCUUUUGCGGUGUGGGAUGGGCCCGCGGCCUAUCAGCUUGUUGGUGAGGUUACGGCUCACCAAGGCGACGACGGGUAGCCGGCCUGAGAGGGUGACCGGCCACACUGGGACUGAGAUACGGCCCAGACUCCUACGGGAGGCAGCAGUGGGGAAUAUUGCACAAUGGGCGCAAGCCUGAUGCAGCGACGCCGCGUGRGGGAUGACGGCCUUCGGGUUGUAAACCUCUUUCACUAGGGACCAAGCGCAAGUGACGGUACCUACAGAAAAAGGACCGGCCAACUACCUGCCAGCAGCCGCGGUAAU